rnacentral:rRNA from 1 species
UACGUAGGGGGCAAGCGUUGUCCGGAAUCAUUGGGCGUAAAGAGCGUGUAGGCGGCCAGAAAAGUCCGCUGUGAAAACUCGAGGCUCAACUUCGAGCUGUCGGUGGAAACUUUCUGGCUAGAGUCCGGAAGAGGAGAAUGGAAUUCCUGGUGUAGCGGUGAAAUGCGCAGAUAUCAGGAAGAACACCCGUGGCGAAGGCGGUUCUCUGGGACGGUACUGACGCUGGAGACGCGAAAGCGUGGGGAGC